rnacentral:rRNA from 1 species
AGAUUGAACGCUGGCGGCAUGCCUUACACAUGCAAGUCGAACGGCAGCACGGGAGCAAUCCUGGUGGCGAGUGGCGAACGGGUGAGUAAUAUAUCGGAACGUGCCCAGUCGUGGGGGAUAACGUAGAGAAAUUUACGCUAAUACCGCAUACGAUCCAAGGAUGAAAGCGGGGGACCGUAAGGCCUCGCGCGACUGGAGCGGCUGAUAUCAGAUUAGCUUGUUGGUGAGGUAAAAGCUCACCAAGGCGACGAUCUGUAGCUGGUUUGAGAGAACGACCAGCCACACUGGGACUGAGACACGGCCCAGACCUCCUACGGGAGCAGCAGUGGGGAAUUUUGGACAAUGGGCGAAAGCCUGAUCCAGCAAUGCCGCGUG